UUAUCUCUUUCUCCUGUCUCUUAUCUCUUUCUUCUCUUUCCCACGACCACACAUAAGCUUCUCCCUCGAUCUCUCCUACAAGCCACACAUGAGCAACGCAGCGGCCUCGGCCCCUACGAGCAACCACAAGCCGACAACGAUGGUGGCGGCAACCCCGUCCGACGAGCAACGACCUCAGGCUCAUCGAGUAGUGAGAGAAGCAACGGCCUCGGCCCAACGGCAAGCAGUGGCCUUGGCGAGUAACGAUCUCGGUCUCAUUGAGCAGCAGGAGAGGCGACAACCUCGGCACCGAUAAGCAACGGCCCCAGUGAGUAGCGACUUUGGCAUUGUUGUGCGGCAGGAGAGGCAACGGCCUCGGCACAGGCAGUGGCGACCCCAGUGAGUUCAGGCCUCGGCCUCGGCAGGUAGCAGGAGUGGUGGCGUCCUCGUCCUCAGCCUCGAGCAAGCAACUAGGUACGGCGGCAUUGGUGACCUCAGCAUGUUGGUGAUUUUAAUUUCUUUGGUUGUCACUGAGACCUGAAUGGUUCACAUAUUUUCUUUUUUAUUUAGUUUUAAAUGUUUUUUUUUAUUUAGGUAUGCAUCUGGGCAUGCUGUGGGUAUUGAUUUGGGUAUCAAUAUGUGAUUUGGACAGAGCCGACUCGAAUUGAGCUUCUUUCUGUUUUGUGAUAUAAAUCGAGGCUUAGGAGACACUGGCAAUGUGAUCCUAUUAAGGUUAUUUUGUGGAGGGUGAGCUUCUUUGCCUCUCAAGGAUCUGAUGUUGCACGAGAUAAUGUGCUUAGGUUGUACAAGCAAACUGUCGAUGCUGUCAUGUGCAUUCUUUUGCACACGAAAUAUCAUCCUUCGCAAUCUCAUGUUCAUCUAAUUCAUCUAAUGGUCGAAUGAAGCAAAUGUGCAGCAGCAUUUCAUGUGGCUUGCGAUGAUUUGUUUCAGUUGUGCUGCUACAUUGCUGAGUGGAAUUCACUUCAGCUGUCCUGAACCUGGUGGGCGGUGGCGUCCGUUUUCCUCGCCACAGUUUUUACAGUGACUACAUGCUGUCCUUGGGAAAGACUGAACUGAGCUGCAGCAGGAAGAGCUUCUCGCUAGCCGACCUACGUAAAUUCGCCAAGCCGCAGGUAACACUUCAAACAAGUAGAUCAGUCAUAACCAUCUGUACUUCAAAGAAAUGGACAAGUUCAGAAUUGAGAGGACUAAUUCAGAGAGAACAGAUAUGUUCAGACUUCAGAACUUAGAUGUGAUAACUGAGCAGAGUUAUGUUUUUGCUAGGCUGAUUAUGUGCUGAGAUAUUAGGCCCUAUUGAUUUAAAAAAGUCCACAGACUUUUAGAAACAAGAUAAAUGGAAUGGCUUUUUCCAUUAACGUGUGGCACAUUACAAGGGAAAUUCAAAAUAUGCUCUUCAAACAUAUUACUCUUGAAAAUAUUGACAACCAGACCUGUUACACUGCUAUGAAAA